rnacentral:rRNA from 1 species
CCUACGGGAGGCAGCAGUAAGGAAUAUUGGACAAUGCUCGCAAGAGUGAUCCAGCCAUGCCGCGUGCAGGAAGAAUGCCCUAUGGGUAGUAAACUGCUUUUGAACUAGAGAAAACCCCAGUACGUGUACUGGGCUGAUAGUAUAGUUAGAAUAAGCAUCGGCUAACUUCGUGCCAGCAGCCGCGGUAAGACGAAGGAUGCAAGCGUUAUCCGGAUUCAUUGGGUUUAAAGGGAGCGUAGGUGGACUGAUAAGUCAGUGGUGAAAUCUCCGAGCUUAACUCGGAAAUUGCCAUUGAUACUGUUGGUCUUGAGUACAGUUGCUGUGGGCGGAAUAUGACAUGUAGUGGUGAAAUACAUAGAGAUGUCAUAGAACACCGAUUGCGAAGGCAGCUCACAAAGCUGUAACUGACACUGAGGCUCGAAAGUGGCGGGAGUACAACAGAUAGUAUACCUACGUAGUCGCACCGUAACGAUAGUAUACUCG